rnacentral:rRNA from 1 species
AGAGUUUGAUCCUGGCUCAGAACGAACGCUGGCGGCAUGGAUUAGGCAUGCAAGUCGAACGGUCGUAGCAAUACGAUAGUGGCGAAAGGGUGAGGAACGCGUGAGUAACCUGCCCCCAAGUUGGGAAUAACAAUUGGAAACGAUUGCUAAUACCUGAUGUGAUCAUCCGAGGGCAUCCUUGGAUGAUUAAAGAUUUAUUGCUUGGGGAUGGGCUCGCGUCCCAUUAGGUAGUUGGUGAGGUAACGGCCCACCAAGCCUACGAUGGGUAGCUGGUCUGAGAGGAUGGUCAGCCACACUGGGACUGAGACACUGCCCAGACUCCUACGGGAGGCUGCAGUCGAGAAUCUUCCGCAAUGCGCGAAAGCGUGACGGAGCAAUGCCGCGUGCCGGAUGAAGGUCUUCGGAUCGUAAACGGCUGUCAGAUGUGACGAAUAAACGACGGUACCCUCAAACGAAGCGCUGGCUAUUUCUGUCCGG